UCCCUGGAGGAAUAGUGGUUAGGCCACAGCGUGCUCACCACUGUGGCCUGGGUUCGAUUCCCGGCCAUGGAA
rnacentral:tRNA from 1 species